rnacentral:ncRNA from 2 species
GGGACCCGCGUGGGAGAGACCGAUCAUCGGCGCCGAAGAGGCAAAUCCUCCCCGGAAACUUUCAGGCAAACGGACCGCGCGGGCCAG